ensembl:lncRNA
CAGGCCGCUGCCGUCCAGGAGGACGUUCCCGAGCAGGCCGCGGUCGUCCAGGUGGAGGUGUCCAAGGUUCCCGAGGCGGUGCCCGAUGCCGAGGCCGUUCCCGAUGCAAUGCCCGAGGCCGAGAAGGUGGCCGAGACAGAAGCGGUUCCCGAUGCUAUGCACGAGGCCGAGGCGGUGCCCGAUGCCGAGGCGGUGCCCGAGGCGGUUCCCGAUGCAAUGUCCGAGGCCGAGGCGGUGCCCGAGGCCGAGGCGGUGCCCGAGGCCGAGGCGGUGCCCGAUGCCGAGGCGGUGCCCGAGGCGGUUCCCGAUGCAAUGUCCGAUGCCGAGGCGGUGCCCGAUGCCGAGGCGGUCCCCGAUGCCGAGGCGGUGCCCGAGGCGGUUCCCGAUGCAAUGUCCGAUGCCGUUCCUGAGGCCAUUCCCGAGGCGGAGCCCGAGGUCGUGCCCGAGGCCGUUCCCGAGGCGGUGUCCUUGUCCAAUGCCGUUCCUGAGGCCGUUCCUGAGACCAUUCCCGAGGCGGUGCCCGAUGCCGAGGCCGUUCCCGAGGCGGGGUCCUUGUCCAAUGCCGUUCCUGAGGCCAUUCCUGAGGCCGUUCCUGAUGCUGUUCCGGAGGCCGAUGCGGGGCCCGAGAUGGUUCUGGAGGCGAUACCCGUGUCCAAGGCCGUUCCCGAGGCGGUGCCCUUGUCUGAGGCCGUUCC